ACCCAGGAAGGAAGCGAUGCAGCUCAAUAGUGAAGCGGUACUGGCGGCGGUCCAAGUGUUUGCAUAGCAAAAACGUAGCAGCGGAAGUCAAACCAUGAUGUGUUUGUAAACUGUAAUCCACACUGUGGGCCGAGAACUGAACUGAAAUAAUGUAGCGAAAGCGUAGAUGCGUGCUCACAAGAUCCAUGGAUAACAGCUCUCAUCCAGUAUCACGAAUUUGGAAUUCUGGUGAUGGUUAGUGGUCAAACAAACCAUGAUAUGUUCAUCUCAGGAAUUUAAUUCGGAGCUUUGACUGCAGUACUGGACAUAAGCGGGCGGCAUAAUAUUGAAGCAAAUCAAACAGCUGUGCAGCAUAUCAAGGAAGCAGCAUGCAGCAACUUGCUGGCCAGAGAAGGGCCAACAAAGUAUUUAAGUGUGAUACCAACGAAGUUCAGAAACUACCUUUCCUGCUGAGCGACUUCGAGGAGGUAAGUUGGCUCCAUUGUCCCUUCAGAGUUUGAUGAUCCAAUCUGUGCUUUUGCUGCUG